GGUUUUCAUGAGGGAAAACAACUCCAGUAAGGUUUGAAAAGCAGAGAGGGAAAUAGUCUCAUAUGUCACAAACAGAAUUAUAUUUCAAAUUUAGAAGAUACGGUAUUAAGUGAUUCAUCUUAUUUUGGACAUUUUUCCUCAAGGAGAAUUUUUCUGGAAGAAAAAGUACAUUUAUAUGUGGGCUUAUUAAGAGAAAGAGAGAAAGGCAUGCUAUUUUAAUCAUUAAAUUCUUGAUGAUGACGAUCAUCAUCAAGAUGAGAAAGAAAAGAAAUAUGAGCCAAGAGAAUCUGUUGUUGCCAGCAAUCAGUUUACCAGAACAUCUGCAGGUGAACAUUUUCCAAAUGGAGUGACAGACUAAUUGCAUCUACGGGGAUGAGAAUCUGCCAUAGAAGAGGAUGCUGUUGGUCUUAUUUUGCCUUAUGAAGAAUAGGAAAGGGUGAUUACAAUGGAACUCUUCAUUAGUUGAAGUAGGUGAUGAUCCGAAUCCUACUACAGCGGUGGCAGCUGCAGCUUCUGCUCCCUCCUCUGUAACCUCCACAAAGGCCUUGUGUAGGACUCCAGAUAGCACGAGACCGCGGCUCCCGGUCAUGCCUGAGAGGUCUGCAUCCCCAUUGAAGAUAUCCACCAUUCCCAUGGUUCUCAACGUGUCCUUGAGGUCAUAGCUCUCUUCCACUUUGAACCGAGGCAGUCGGCAUAAAAAUGGGUUCUCUCAGCACAGCUAACGUUGAAUUUUGCCUUGAUGUGUUCAAAGAGCUGAACAGUAACAACAUAGGAGAUAACAUCUUCUUUUCUUCGCUGAGUCUGCUUUAUGCUCUAAGCAUGGUCCUCCUUGGUGCCAGGGGAGAGACUGAAGAGCAAUUGGAGAAGGUGCUUCAUUUUAGUCAUACUGUAGACUCAUUAAAACCAGGGUUCAAGGACUCACCUAAGUGCAGCCAAGCUGGAAGAAUUCAUUCCGAGUUUGGUGUCGAAUUCUCUCAAAUCAACCAGCCAGACUCUAACUGUACCCUCAGCAUUGCCAACAGGCUCUACGGGACAAAGACGAUGGCAUUUCAUCAGCAAUAUUUAAGCUGUUCUGAGAAAUGGUAUCAAGCCAGGUUGCAAACUGUGGAUUUUGAACAGUCUACAGAAGAAACGAGGAAAACGAUUAAUGCUUGGGUUGAAAAUAAAACUAAUGGAAAAGUCGCAAAUCUCUUUGGAAAGAGCACAAUUGACCCUUCAUCUGUAAUGGUCCUGGUGAAUGCC
rnacentral:lncRNA from 1 species